GGACCCGGCGAGCGGAGAGCGAGCGGCCGCAAGAAACACUUGCCCUUCUUCCUCCUCGGCCAGCCCCGCCGGACCCCGCAGCAGCCGUGAGUGCAAGCUGAGAACAAGAUUUUAGGAGAUGCCGUGGUGGAGCUGAAUUUCAUCCCGGAGAACCUCAGAGAUAAAGCCUCUCCCAGUGUUAUCCCCUCCCCAAAGCCCCCAGAAUGAAUCCAGCUGUUGGGAUGCACCUCUCUGGGUUUCCCUUGGUGUUCUAAGGACUACCAUAAAUCAGCUGUGAUGGCUCUUUAAAACCCUGUUUGGCCUGCAAGAUGCUCUGGCAUGGGGCCCUCAGGAAGACUGCGAUCAGUUGCUGGCUCUCAGCUUGCUUGUGAGCACAGCCAAUUUUCUUAGCAGCUGUUCCCUCCACAAAUCCUACACAGAGAAACAGCAUUUCUACCUGUUGUGAAAUGUAUCGUCCACCCACAGUUAAGGCUGAAAAAUGACAAUAGAGAAGACGGACUGCAUUAUCCUGUGUCUGAAAGCCUCUGUAGAAAUGUGAAGUGACAGCAGGAUGAUUGCAGCUGAUGAAAGAAGAUAAAAAAAGUUGAAGUGGCCGCAUCAUGCGACAAGUAAUGGCAGAUGACUGCAGUAAACAGUAGAGGAGACCUGAACUGGCAAUGCAUCAAGAAAACUCCCAGCCUGUGUCUAUAGGUAGGAGACUGAAACCCACCUGUUGAAAUUCUUGUGGGAUUUUUGGCAGCACCACAACUCAGACAAACCGGUCCUAAGUCUGUUUGGUGUUUCUAAUCACAAAGCACUAGUAAUGUCCUUGGUCAGGGUCCUCUGACAUGUCACCCUUCUUUGAGCUCAGUGUUGUCUUCUGCUUUCCUGUGCCUCUUACCCUUAUUCUUCUGUCUUAUACCAUGCAUACAUCCUUUUUCCUCUUUCACCACAAUAUUUUAGCUUCUGCUUCUUGGUCCAUGGCAACCUGGAAGCUACUUGCCUGAAGGACUGUCUUUAGGUUUAUAUGCAUUUUAUGCCUGGUCACUACUGGGAUUUUAAAAGAUUCUUGGGUUUCCAUUCACCAUGAACUUGUGUGUAUUUACCCAAAUCUGUAUUUAUACAGCUAUUGGGUUGCAUAAAUGAUAGAGAGGAUAAUGAAAGCAUAUCAUUAUUAUUAAGCAGGCAGAGGGCUCUAUUAAACUCCAGCUUGAACUUGCAUAAUUCCUCCAUUUUCAAACUGUGUAAUACAGGAAUGAAGAAAUUAUGUUCCAACUUCUUUGCUGGUGUAAUUUGGGAGAAACUUAUUAUCAUAGAUAAUAAAUAAUAUUGAUUAUCAUCAAUAUGUUAAAGUGAUUUAAAGCCAAAUUUAGCCCACACUAACAUGCCUGCUAAUGAUUUUGUUUCCUUUUUUGACUCUUUUCAAUAGCCUUCAUCAAAUAACUCAGCUACAACAUUAACUAUCCGUACAUAUUCUUAUCAACCUUAUAAUUAACAUGUAUCCAUGGGUACUGCCUCAUGUUAGUGAGGCAAGGUUGUAUUUGAAGGAGAAUCUUUUGUAUCUGUUGAAGCAGCUGUUAGUGUGGCUGCAUACCUGGCUGAAUCAAGUAAUCAUUUCAUUAAACAAAAAUCCUUUUAGCUGUGCUAAUCAAAAGCAUGCUGAUCACAAUUUUUCUAAACAACCCCCUGAAACCUAAACAAACAAACAAACCACUUCAAGGCUAAUAAACCAGUCUUGCUCUGAUAAACAAGCUAUGCUUUAUUAAAAAGGAUUAAAAAGGGAAAAAAGAUCUGAGGGGGAUUU